UCUCUUCCCCUGCCACGCGUCCUCCUCUAUUAUCCCA
rnacentral:sRNA from 1 species